rnacentral:rRNA from 1 species
UUAAAUUGAAGAGUUUGAUCAUGGUUAAGAUUGAAAGGUGGCGGGAGGCCUAAAAAAUGCA